rnacentral:rRNA from 1 species
GGUUUCCGUAGGUGAACCUGCGGAAGGAUCAUUAUCGUAAAACCGAGGUGCGAGGGCUGUCGCUGACCUUUUCGGUCGUGCACGCCCGAGUGCUCUCACACAAUCCAUCUCACCCCUUGUGCACCACCGCGUGGGUCCCUCUCUGGCUCGUCCGGAGGGGGGCUCGCGUUUUCACACAAACUUGAAGUAGUGUAGAAUGUCCUUUUUUGCGAUAACACGCAAUCAAUACAACUUUCAACAACGGAUCUCUUGGCUCUCGCAUCGAUGAAGAACGCAGCGAAAUGCGAUACGUAAUGUGAAUUGCAGAAUUCAGUGAAUCAUCGAAUCUUUGAACGCACCUUGCGCCCCUUGGCAUUCCGAGGGGCACACCCGUUUGAGUGUCGUGAAAUUCUCAAAACCCUUUCUUUUGGUCAUUUUUGACCAUGGAAAGGAUUUUGGACUUGGAGGCCUUUUUGCUGGUUUCAACCUUGAAGCGAGCUCCUCCCAAAUGUAUUAGUGGGGUCUGCAUUGUCGGUCCUUGGCGUGAUAAGUUGUUUCUACGUCUUGGAUUUUUGGCGCUGUACACCUGCUUCUAACCGUCUCAUUGACAACGAUGGUGUUCCGGUCGCCGCCGAUUUUUCGGUGGGAGGCUUGACCCACGAAACAAACCUUGACCUCAAAUCGGGUGAGACUACCCGCUGAACUUAAGCAUAUCAAUAAGCGGAGGAAAAGAAACUAACAAGGAUUCCCCUAGUAACUGCGAGUGAAGCGGGAAAAGCUCAAAUUUAAAAUCUGGUGGCCUUUGGUCAUC